rnacentral:rRNA from 1 species
UACGGGGGGGGCAAGCGUUGUUCGGAAUUACUGGGCGUAAAGGGCGCGUAGGCGGUUGGAUAAGUCAGCUGUGAAAACCACGGGCUUAACUCGUGGCCUGCAGUUGAGACUGUCUGGCUUGAGUGUGGGAGAGGAGAGUGGAAUUCCUGGUGUAGCGGUGAAAUGCGCAGAUAUCAGGAGGAACACCGGUGGCGAAGGCGGAUCUCUGGGCCGUAACUGACGCUGAGGAGCGAAAGCAUGGGGAGCGAACAGG